rnacentral:misc_RNA from 1 species
UCUGCUUGUCGUUUUCCCGUGGGCAUCUUAUGCAACCCUUUCCAGUUCUCAUGCUCAACAGAAUCUUUCCAAUGAUUUUUUCCGGAUUUGUCCAAGUUUUACGGAAUCAUGACUAACCGCGUUGCACAAAGAUGGAGUCAAUUAGUUUUCUGGAUGAGAAAUGCUCGCGAAGCUUUCAGGUCAGAGUCGCGACCGGGCGAAGUUUCACGCUGUACCAUCCCUCUUUUAAAAAACAUGGACAAACAAUCUAAACCUUUUACAGUUGUGGUGGAAGGAAACAUUGGAAGUGGCAAGACUACACUUCUUAACUAUUUUAGUAAGUUCAGUGAUGUAGAGGUACUGCAAGAGCCUGUUGAAAAAUGGAGAGAUGUACAAGGACACAAUCUCUUGGGCUUACUUUAUGAUAACCCAGCACGUUGGUGUCUGACUUUCCAAACUCAUGUACAGUUGACAAUGCUUGAUCAUCAUACCAAGGAGACAUCAGCGAAAGUAAAAUUAAUGGAGCGUUCCCUGUAUAGUGGACGCUAUUGUUUUGUAGAAAACUUGCACCAGAGUAAGCUGAUGGAACCUGCUGAGUAUUCAGUCAUUUCAGAGUGGUUCAAAUGGAUCACUAACAAUGUUGAUGUUGGAAUUGAUCUCAUAGUGUAUCUAAGAACAGAUCCUAAAGUUGUUCAUGACCGAAUUCUACAGCGUGCCCGAAAAGAAGAGAAAACUGUUCCGUUAAGUUAUAUCGUAGACCUGCAUGAAAUCCACGAGAAAUGGCUUCACGACAAAAUUUCUCAUCCUGUUCCUGCUCCGGUCUUGGAGAUAGAUGCAAACGUCGAUUUAGCUGAAAUGCUUGAACAAGUCACUUUAGUUGAAAAUCAAAUUUUGAACAGGAAAAGGAAGCGUGUUUAUUCAUCAACCGUUAUUUCACCGUCUAAGCUCGUCUCUCCUGCAUAGUCACACCUAACAAUAACGGAAUAAUUGCGACAAACUUUCAGAAACUCCAUUGAUGUGUUGUAUCCAUAGUCUUGUGUUAUUUUGUUCCAAGAUAAAUAUGCCCUUGAUGCUUUUACUGCUGUUUAUUAAUAAAUAUCGGUUACUCCACGA